GACGAACGCUGGCGGCGUGCCUAAUACAUGCAAGCAGAACGCUGAAGAGAGGAGCUUACUCUUCUUGGAUGAGUUGCGAACGGGUGAGUAACGCGUAGGUAACCUGCCUUGUAGCGGGGGAUAACUAUUGGAAACGAUAGCUAAUACCGCAUAACAAUGAAUGACACAUGUCAUUUAUUUGAAAGGGGCAAUUGCUCCACUACAAGAUGGACCUGCGUUGUAUUAGCUAGUAGGUGAGGUAAUGGCUCACCUAGGCGACGAUACAUAGCCGACCUGAGAGGGUGAUCGGCCACACUGGGACUGGGACACGGCCCAGACGCCUACGGGAGGCAGCAGUAGGGAAUCUUAGGCAAUGGGGGCAACCCUGACCGAGCAACGCCGAGUGAGUGAAGAAGGUUUUCGGAUCGUAAAGCUCUGUUGUAAGUCAAGAACGGGUGUGAGAGUGGAAAGUUCACACUGUGACGGUAGCUUACCAGAAAGGGACGGCUAACUACGUG
rnacentral:rRNA from 1 species